CGCCUCGCCUCCGCCGCCCCGCAGCGCCCCCUGCCGCCCCCGGCAGCGUCGCAGGUCCCUGCCACUGCGGCCCCUCGCGGCCCACGCGUGAGCCCUUCCGCCGACUGUCGCUGCCGUGAGUGAGGAAGGGCGGCCGCGCCCGGACUGCGGUUACAGACGCCACAGCUAUUGAGUAAGGAAGAAAGGAUUCUCGUCAAGACAUGGCGGAGGCUCGGACACAGGAUAAAGAAUGGCUGGAACAGAUUCCCUGGGAACCGGCUCCAGCUGGGUUUUGAAGAUCUCCGGAGAAAAAUCCACAGCCUCUGAAAAACCUGUUUCAGAGUUCAACCAUUCUCACAGUAAGAAGGACUUCACCUCUAUUUAAAUAGAAUUUCCUGCACUUCUACCUGUGCCCAUGGCCUCUUGUCCUGUCAUUGAGCACCACAUCCGGUUCCACCUUCCUUCCACAGGUAUUUAUGUACAUGGGUAAGAUCCCCCAAAGCCAUCUCUUCUCCAGGCUGACAAUUGCAGCUCUUAGUCUCAUUGACAGCUGCUGCAAUACUUUAAUCUUAUUAAUCAUUUUAAGUAUGUUAAAUAAUUUCUUUUAAAUUGGCUUGAAAAUUUCUCUAGUUCCUUUUCUGUUUGUUUGCUUGGACAAAAUACUCAUCUUCCUCAUGGCCUUUGUUGGAUUAUGUUUGUUUCUUACUCUCUAGUUUUAUUUCAGUAGAUUCUGGCAGGAGUCAUCACUCUGAACAAAACCAUGAAGAAGUCAAGCUGCUCAGGGCAAGGACCUAUUUACCCCUGAAGAACAACAAACAAGCACUGUUUAGCAGAGUUACAACACUUGCACCUAGCUGAGUUGGAUCUGAUGAGUACAAAGGGGCUGUAUAAACCCAGAUGUUUUAAAAACAGUAGUCUGUCUCAUGGAGAGUAAGCAGGCCAACAUGUUCUUUUUCAGGCAUGCUUCUCCACUUAUAAUAGGGUUUUGCCCAGCUCACAGGCCCACCAAUUCACUCUAGCCUGGGCAGAUAUGUUGCAUUGCACAGGGAGCAUGAGUCAUUUUGAUUCACAUUCCAUGCAGAAACAAGGAUAUACCCAGUUCUUUCCCACCAUUUGCCUGCAUCUUCUCCACUUGUUAAAGCAAAAAUCAUUUUCCUUAAUGUUUUCUGAAAAGAAUCAAAGCAGUUAAGUUCUCUGUGUUUACAGGAAUAAAAACACAAACCCUUGAAGUAAUUAAGUUUGUUCUCCCUCUAACUUUGCAGUAGCUGUUCUGGGCCUAAUGCUGCAUUUCACUUUGAAAAAUCCUAACCUAUUCUUAACUAAGAGAGAUUUUAACCACACCCACUUGGACUUAGCUUUCCCCCCCAACAUUUUACAGAGCUUUCAGGUUGUAUUUUUAUGGAAACAAAUUAUGUUAAUUUUACAGAGCAAUACAGUUGCUGGUUGUCUUGUAACAGGAAUGAUUAAUGAAAUUAUGUAUCAUAGAACCAUAAAAGUUGGAAAAGAUCUCUAAGUCCAACUGUCCACCUACCAACAAUACUGCCCACUAAACGAUGUCCCUAAGUACUGCAUCUACCCUUUCCUUAAACACCUCCGGGGACUCUACCACUUCCCUGGACUACCUGUUCCAAUGCCUAACCACUCUUUUAGAGAAGAAAUUCUUCCUAAUACCCAACCUGAAGAUAGUGGAAGAAGAGGAAAUAAUUUUUUUACCCAAUAUCUAGAUGAUGCUCUUUCCUCACAGGAAGCAUGUCAGCCAAGCAACCUAGUUCUGGACACACCUCCACAUUGAAGGGGAUGUUAGAGUUUUGCUCCAUAGUACACAUUUCUGCAUGAUUUGUUAAAAAUGGAUUAAUGCUGAUUGACACCUGCUCCACCAUGUUCUGGACAUUAAAUUACUCCAAAUUUCACAACUUUAAUUGCUAUUUAACUACCAUCUUUCCAGCCCUGCAUCUUCAGCCACCUGAAGAUCAGACAUCUGAUGUAACAGUCCUAGAUUUAACUAGGAACGCAUUUCUAGGUUUAGUAUAUACCAAGAAAAACAACAACAACAACAACAACAAAAAACAAAGUUUACAUGGAUAAUGUGGCUAUUUAUUAAUCCUAAUGACAGAUUAAUUCAACAUCUGUAAAUGAUGCAUCAUGAAGAUGUCUACAAUGCAAACAUAUUGCUUUAGAGUGGAAAUUACUGGUGCACUUUAUGGACCAAAUAAAAUUGAACAAAUACUUAAUACAGAAAACUAAAAUAUCCUUGACACCUAUGUGGGUGUCAAGAAAAAUAAUUUUACAGACGUUCUUAGAGAGCAACUAGGGCAUUAAUUUGAACAGGAGACUUCAUAUGACAUACUACAAUCCAGUUCCAGCAAUGUACUGCUUCUUAGCUAAAGCCAAGGGCAAAGGUACACUGGCACCAAGCACAGAAGAGUUUAAGCUGUAGUAGCUUGUAAUGCAAUACCAUACUUGAGCUUUAAUACUGAUUCCAGUAAUAUUCCAAUUCUGCAGCAGAGGCUUGCAUACCUUUUGGAAGUCCACUGGAAAUCAGUAAGUGCUGACUUGCCAUGGAAUCCAGUAUUGUGAGGCCCAUCUUCUUCCCUGUCUCCUGCCAGCACCACCAGUAGAGAAUGGGCAUUAAUUCUUAGUUGCAUUUCUUAACAGCUGUCAAGAUUCACCUGGUAGAUUACACGUUGGAAUUCAUUUGUUGUACACUGGGUCCCUCAAUUGAAGAGUGCAAGAAAUGAAACAAAUGGCAAAAAAUUCUACUUGACCAAAAAAAAAAGAUUUUAAUAGAACAUUGGUGACAAUAAA